GAAAUGCGAUACGUAGUGUGAAUUGCAGAAUUCAGUGAAUCAUCGAAUCUUUGAACGCACAUUGCGCCCUUUGGUAUUCCAAAGGGCAUGCCUGUUUGAGCGUCAUUUGUACCCUCAAGCUUUGCUUGGUGUUGGGCGUUUUUUGUCUUUGGCUCGCCCAAAGACUCGCCUUAAAACGAUUGGCAGCCGGCCUACUGGUUUCGCAGCGCAGCACAUUUUUGCGCUUGCAAUCAGCAAAAGAGGACGGCAAUCCAUCAAGACUCCUUCUCACGUUUGACCUCGGAUCAGGUAGGGAUACCCGCUGAACUUAAGC
rnacentral:misc_RNA from 1 species